GAAUAAAAAAGCUUUUCUUAAUUUAGAUUUUUCAGCAACUUAGCACAUACGUCUUUAAAGAAACAAAAACAGAGAAAUGAAAGGCUGUGCAUAUGUUAAAAAGAAGAAAUGGCUCAUAUUUAAAUUUUCUGGAAAUCUUUUACUUUCCUGUGUAUGAAUUGGCUAACCUCACCACCACAACUAGCCACAACUCACAGCUUUAUUAUCGAAAUAAUAAGCACGUUGCUAAAGAGGUUUUACAGCCCCAAAAACAAUCACCCUUCGGACAGAUGUUUUCUCCUUUUCCCUUUGAUUUGUCUGAAAAUCUCACCUCAACUAAUCUUCUAGCAGAUGUGGUUAAGACAAAUUUUCCAAAAAAAUAAAAUAUAAUAAAAAAAAAUCUAGUGUUGUGUAAGGCUCUCACGAGAAAAUGUUCCUUUAGGUGAUCUGACAAACAGGUUUGCAUAUUGCGUUAGGUCAUUGCUACAGAAAGGGUGACACCUACUUAAAAACAUCUCUCGUAUGAAAAAUGUGGGGAUUGAUAUGAUUUAGUAAUAAUAUGGUUAGUUUUCCUACAAACACUGUUGGAGUUUAUUCACAUUAAAUUGUAAACCUACCAACUCUAUUGCUUUAUUUUGCCUUAGGUUAAUCAGGCUGUUAUAGUCCAGAGCUCUGGAAAGACCUGCUUGGCUCUUCC